GAUAACCACAUUGUCACCAGGACAAAGCGCUGAAACUGAGAGGCGCCGGGUGGAUUGUCCGGGGCAGAGCCGCACUGGAAGGCCGGACCUGGAGCAAAAGCCAGUCUGUGCACAGGAGGCUUGAUGUCUGUCCACCAGCUCCACCGCGUAAUUGUACAAGGAGGGACUUUUUCAGUGUCAAUUAUGAGCCAAGGAUUAUAGGUGAACUUCCAGCACCUUCCAUGUAUGAGUUCCUGUGCUGUGUGCUGCAGGGUUGUGGACUAUAACAAGAUUGGAUUUCACACUCAAGAAAGGGACGUUAGAACAUGAGCGCCAUGGGAAGUUUCCCUCAAGGACAAGUCGAUCUGUAAGGCAAAAUGCUGUGGGCAACAUGGAGUGUUAACUGCAGGGCAAGGAUCCUGUGGUCCUGUGAAAGUAGAGAGGUGAGCCUUGUCCCUCACAGCCUCCCAGGAAGGAGGCUGACCUCAGAGUGGAGGGACAGUGCGGAAGAGAGAUGGGAGAGAGACCGAGGGAAAGAAGAGGCGGCAGUGGACAGCGGAGGCUCGCAGCCAGGCCUCAGGCGGCCAGCAUGGGUCUCUGAGCAUAUCAACAGUGCCCUGUCGCCCUGAGUCCAGGAACUGUCACUCUGUUAGAUGCACAAUCCCGGGAUCUUGACGAAGCCCUGGACUGCGGCAGGUAGCCCCGCGAUUACUGAGAUGGAAACUAUGUUACCCUGGCAGAUGGGACUCAAAGCAGAUGAAAACGUCAUUACCGUGAUUACAGUGGCCACCGCUGCUGACGCUAAUACGGGCUGGAUCCGUGCUGCACGUUGCCCCAAGCACUUUGAAUGCAUUGACCCACUUCAUCCUCACAACAACCCCUGAGGUAUUGGUCACCUGUAGGGCUCAAUUCCAUCAUUGCCAGUGCCUUCACUCAACAAGUAUCUAUUGAGCAUCUGCUAUUCUGCGCACCCUUGUCGGCCCUGGUGAUAACGUGGUGAACAAAACAUACACAAAUCCUGCCCUCGUGGGGCUUAUGCCCCAAGAGGAGAAGGUGUACAGCAAACAAAACCUGAGAUGCAUAGAGAAAUGUCUGCGGGUACUCAGGGACAUGGAAAAACAUGGAGCAGAGAGAAAGCUGGAGAAGGACAAGGAGAGAGAAGGGCUUGUGAUUUUCAACGGUGAUCAAGAAGCAAAGACCCUCGGGGUCCCAGCCUGAGCCUAAGCAGAUUUAGAAUUCAGGUGCCCGUUGAACCUUUGAGUCAUGGAUCUGAACUACUGAGAAACCAGCACAAAUAGCUCCUUUCCCGGACGGAAUCUCCUCUCUCUGUCUCUGCAGCACUUUGUGGACGCUGCCAUUAUGGUGUGUAUCACUUAUGUCAGACGUUUUUGGGUUUGUGCUAUGUUUCCCUGGCUAAAACAUGGGCUUAGAACUGUUUCAUUCAUCCUUAUCUCAUUGCCAACAAGCCAAACGUUCAUGUUCAUUGAAUAAAGAAUGAGUGAAUGAAAUGAUUCCGCAUCCUUCAUUGCUUCUCCUUCCCUUCCCCCCCAAUUUUAAGUUGCUUU